AUGUCUACUGGCUAUAGAGAGGAGAAGAAGGAGGAAAGAUCUUGGUCUCCAAAGUCUGAUCUGCAGGACUCCCACAUAGUUAACUGGGUGCGUUUCACAUUUAUCUGCCUUAGCUGGGGCUCUGAGUCACCCUUGUUUAGUACUGAAUCUGCGCCUUCACAGACUCUCAUGCUUCACAACGCUGAGUUCUGCAGAAGGCCUUCCUCUCUCCCAUGCAGGGGAUCUCGAAGUCAUCACUAUCAGGAAAUUAUAACCUAUGAGACCAAAGAAGCUGACGUGAUGGUUUACCCUGUGAUACAUAUUUGCGAGAAGAAAAGAAAUAGACCCAGAUCACAACCAGGAAGAGCUAAAGCAUGUGAAAAUUUGUAAAACAAACACCAAAAGUUUUCAAAACUUUCAUAAACCUCAGAAAAGUUUGUUUGGUUUGUGAAAUAAUAAAAUAAUAAUAAUAAUAAUAGAAUAAUUAAUA
rnacentral:lncRNA from 1 species